GCCUACGGGACGCAGCAGUGGGGAAUAUUGGGCAAUGGGCGCAAGCCUGACCCAGCAACGCCGCGUGAAGGAAGAAGGCUUUCAGGUUGUAAACUUCUUUUCUCAGGGACGAAGAAAGUGACGGUACCCAAGGAAUAAGCCCCGGCUAACUACGUGCCAGCAGCCGCGGUAAUACGUAGGGGGCAAGCGUUGUUCGGAAUGACUGGGCGUAAAGGGUGUGUAGGCGGUUUAGCAAGUUAGAAGUGAAAUACCUAGAGCUUAACUCAGGUGCUGCUUCUAAAACUGCUAGACUUGAGUGCAGUAGG
rnacentral:rRNA from 1 species